UCCCUGGUGGCUCAGAGAUUAAAGCAUCUGCCUGGAAUGCUGGAGGAGACCCGGGUUCAAUCCCUGGGUAGGGAA
rnacentral:tRNA from 1 species